GCACACUCUCACCUGGCACAAUACAGAAGAAGCACUGACUAGUGGCAAAAAUUCAAAGGAAUGUAUCACCAUUUUAAAAAUUUUAAUCUCUCUAAUAUCUGUAGCAUCCAGUCACUUACAAAGAUUUUCUUGAAGAUAACAAACAUUUUUAACUCUCUAGAUGCAGUUGCUGAAUAAACUUUAUUCCUUAACAUGUACAGCCAUACAGUAAUUUUCAAGAGACAGAGAGCAUCCUUCAUUUACUUAAACUGAGAAGACAUAUUUAACAGAAAAUUACAGAGACCUCACCAACUAAAUAUAAUAUCAUAACUGGUUCAGUGUUUCAACUCUUUGCCUCGAUAAACAGUUUUCAUUCUAUCUGGCAGACAUACUUUCAACUUUUCAAAUAAAUCUGCAAGGAUAUUUUUCCACACCUCCGAAGUUCAGUCUUAGAAACUCUUAUGAUUCAGGUAAACCCAAACACAUUCAAGGAAGCCGAGUUCUGGACUUUGGGGUGGCCAGUGCACUGUUGAACACCAGCAGUUUUGCUCGAUUCACAAUUUUUUUUUUUUUUUUGCUUCUUUACAGCUACACGUCCUUUCAGACCCAUAACAUUGACUUGUCUUCUCACAAUGGAAGGAUGGACAGAAACACCUGUGGAGCUUGAUUUUCUACUUUUUCUCAGAGAUAAAAUCUUUAAAGUAGCGUUUAUCUGACGGUGACAGUUUUGGUGGUCAAGCAGGUCUUCCAUAGUUGUCAGGAGUACCAUUUUCUUCACAUUUUUAUUGGGUCAGUAUGUCAAGCAGAUGCCCAUUGAACACUGGGGUUCUGAUAAUCACACGGCGGGCAGGCAGAUUUACACCAGAGGACAAAGUGGAAGUGGCGACAAGGACCCUGAUGUAGCCCUGACGAAAAGCACCUUCCAGGAUGUCCCUCUCAUCAAAUGUCAAACCUAAGCCAAAAAGGUACACUGUGAUAGUUGUGCUAGACACAGCUGUUAAUGCAAGGACUAACAGUCAGUAAUUUGAUAAAAUAUUGUUUUAUUCAUGCCUUCGCCAUGUGUAACCCAACAGAAUCAUAUAUCUUUAUAGUGUUUCUCUCAUUAUAAUAAUGAAUAAGUACAUUCUAAUAGUGGUUACCUGCAUGGUGGAACGCAACUCCCCAGGGAACAGUGCGCUGGAGCACUUGGUCGAGGCCUGCAGGAGAACGUUUUAACUGAGCAACCACUUCCUGAAGACCUUCUUGGUUCAAAGACACAGACUGGACUCCAGAGUCUGACUGCUUCUCUGCAAAGGAUAUAUACUUUCUGCACUGACAUCAUCCAAAUGACUGCUUAACACACACAUAUUUAAUGAUGUACUUUAAUAAAAUCAGCAUUUUCCUGGAA